rnacentral:misc_RNA from 1 species
CGGCAAACAUCAAAUCAUAUGCACCCAAGACGAUGUUUGCACUCUGCAAUUCCUCCAUAGAGAGACGCAGUCAGCUGUUUCUUUCGAGAGCCCAAGUCCAAAGGGAAUCGAAACAGAAAAGGAAUACGCUCGCACAGCACCGAGUUCAAGGUCGCUGCUACUUCAACUCAGCAGCCGCCGUUCGCCGGAAACUCGACGAUGACUCCACCGAUGAGGUGUCAUAAAACAAUGCAUAUCCAUAUAUGAGGAAUUCAAUUGAGACAAACCUGAUGGAACAAUAAAAAUUAUGGGAGUGACAACCACUGGUGAAAAACGAAUGUGCAAGAACUCCCAAAUCUUUAUGAUGCAAACACAAAAUCUGCCCCCACCAGGGCGUUUCUCCAUCACAUUCAGCUACCUGGUCCAGUUAUUCACUGACAGUUCCAAGGUCAUUUUGGGAAUGAUGGAAUUGGAAUGCUUGAGGGAAUUGUGA